UCCUUUGACGUUAGCGGCGGACGGGUGAGUAACACGUGGGGUAAACCUACCUAUAAGACUGGGAUAACUUCGGGAAACCGGAGCUAAUACCGGAUAAUAUUUCGAACCGCAUGGUUCGAUAGUGAAAGGNGGUUUUGCUAUCACUUAUAGAUGGACCCGCGCCGUAUUAGCUAGUUGGUAAGGUAACGGCUUACCAAGGCGACGAUACGUAGCCGACCUGAGAGGGUGAUCGGCCACACUGGAACUGAGACACGGUCCAGACUCCUACGGGAGGCAGCAGUU
rnacentral:rRNA from 1 species